rnacentral:lncRNA from 1 species
AAAUCUGCACAUGCUUGUGGAUAAUAAUUCUAAAGUCUGAGUUAAUUUGGAGCCAGAUUAGCCAGAGACACAAUCUAAGACUUUUAUCUCUGCCCCCAAACAGGCUAUUUCUUGGGCCACUAGCCCAUCCACUCAUCUGUUUGCUUUUAGAAAGUCAUUUGUGUACAAACUGUGGACAUUACCAACUGCAGAUGCCACUACCUCUCCUUGUUGCAUCUCU